UGUAAUCAUGCAAUGCAAGCUGCUUACCCAGGAUGGCGGAGGUGGCUUCCUACAAAAACUCUGCCUUGAACCUCAGGAAACAUGUAGAGCAAAAUCAAUGACGAGACCUUCAUGCUGCCAGUCUCUGCACGAUUGAAGAAGAAUUGGAGCUCCGCCAGGUCUUUUUCAAAAUGGCGGGUCUCUUAGCGGCCCGCAUUUUCCAGGCGACACAUCCUUUACGGCCGCCAUGAAGGAAUCCCAG